CCUUUCUUUUGCAAAAAAACAGAGAGAGCAGCCCUAUUCUCCCCAUUUCAUUCUCUGCUAGGGUUUCAAAAGAAACCCAUUUGUUGCGCUGUCGCCUCGACUGCUACUCCUCCGCCAUGGACGGUGGCCGAACACUCCAGGUGAUGGGAUGAUGGGAUGGAGGCAGUGCAAGUGGAGCAAGUGGAGGUGUGGGUGGUGACAGACUUUGGUGGCUAGGGUUUUCCUUUUUGGCUGAAAAUUAGUUAAGGUUGUGGGCUGAUUUGGGCUUUGUAAUUGGGUCUAGAGUUUGGUUUUGGGCCGGGCAUAAUUUGGGCUAUACAAUAAGUGUCAUGGUUUUAUUUUAUAAAUAAAUUACAUUAUAAUAUAA